rnacentral:rRNA from 1 species
ACGGGAGGCAGCAGUGGGGGAUAUUGCACAAUGGGGGAAACCCUGAUGCAGCGACGCCGCGUGAGUGAUGAAGUAUUUCGGUAUGUAAAGCUCUAUCAGCAGGGAAGAAAAUGACGGUACCUGACUAAGAAGCACCGGCUAAAUACGUGCCAGCAGCCGCGGUAAUACGUAUGGUGCAAGCGUUAUCCGGAUUUACUGGGUGUAAAGGGAGCGUAGACGGCAUAGCAAGCCAGAUGUGAAAGGUGGGGGCUCAACCCCCAAGCUGCAUUUGGAACUGUUAAGCUAGAGUAUCGGAGAGGUAAGUGGAAUUCCUAGUGUAGCGGUGAAAUGCGUAGAUAUUAGGAGGAACACCAGUGGCGAAGGCGGCUUGCUGGACGACAACUGACGCUGAGGCGCGAAAGCGUGGGGAGCAAACAGGAUUAGAUACCCUGGUA